CUGGGAUUGCCAGGCAUGGGUGUUAUUUGCAGAAGCUGAGACAAAGGGCAAGCAGAAGAGAGAGAGAGCGAGAGAGAGAGAGAGAGAGAGAGAGA